GUUCCUGGCUGCGCUCCAGCCCGGACACCUUGGGGAUGCUCCCUGCUUUCGCUUCGGCCUUGUCAUUCAAGGCUGGACCUUCAAGAACAAGGAACAAGGCAAAAGCAUCCUUUGUUGUCCCCUCAAACUGAGGUACAGAACAAGAGGCUGGGUCAAGUUUCCCUCGGUUGGGCCCAGGGAUUCUUCUCCCUGCUGCACCUCUUAUGGCUGGCUCACUGGAAAGAAGCAAGUUCUGCCUUCAACAGGAGGACGGCAGAAAAAAUGGUGGCAGAGAAUUGAAGUAAACUGACAUUAUAUUAACUGUCCCAGAUUCUUUUAUAGGAAGAAAUUCACUGGAGAACUGGUACCAUUCCUUAGAUAAUGGAAUACAACCAAUCUAUUUGAAAAUGGGGGUACAGAUAAGGAAAUUAGAGAACUGAAUUUUAGACUGGAAAAAUGAGAAGCCACAUCUGAAAGAUUCGCCCAUCCAUCUCUCCUGGUGACCGUAGGUGCAAUAUGACAGAAUGUUCUUCCCUAAAAGGGCACCAGCAUGGAAAAUGAAAGAUGGAGACAAUAUGAAGACCAGGAGCCAAGCCGUACACAGCCAAGAGUGGAAGGACCAUCGUGAAGAAGAUAGCCCUGUAGACCAGGUCCCACUGAGUAACAGCCAUGCAUCGCAUGAAAGACAAAGCCAAAAUUGUCGGAGUUGAGCCUGCAUCCAGUUCCAAUAGGAAACAACAGAGGGAGAAAAAAACACCUGAAGCUCCUUCCGCAAGGACUUGGAUCCAGCCUCUCUCACUUCAGUUCGUUGGUACGGAGCUGUCUGUCAAGUCAAAUCGUCUUGCAACAAUCUAAAACACCCUCAGAACAGCUGCCACUGUCAAUUAUUCUCUCCGACAGCCUUGACUAUCAGGAAAAGAACUGGAGCGAGCACUUGCCAGUUUUAAUAAACUGUGUUGCCCAAGUCAUUUAACCUGCUAGAUUGCUGUACGCUGGGGCUGUAACAAGCCUUCAAGCUUCUUGGGGAAAGGAACCGUGGCAAAGGGCUGGCAGCUUGGUCCUUGGAAUCUGCUUCCAAGUGCACCCAUUUUCUUUCACUUCGGAGGCACCCAGGUUUUGAAAAACAUAAUUUCAAGACUUCUGCACAGUGUUUUGUGAUGCGAAAGUGGCUACCGUUUAUCUCUAUUACGUCUGCACCUUCCCCUUCCUCCCAGUAGCUCAGAGCAGUAUUUUAGCCUGAAAACCACUCUCUGAGGUGGGUUAGAAUGAGCGAGUGUGAUUUGCCCAAGGCCACCUAGGGAGCUUAAUAGCUGAGUACAAUUUAAAGUUGAGUUUUUCAACACUCUAGCCAGUACCCCAUACUGGUUUUCAAAACAGCUUUCAAAAUCACCUAAGUGAAUUAGGACCCUGAGUCUGCAUGCUUCAAAAGACUGUAUUUUAGAAUUACCCCACUCACUUAAAUGACACUAUGUGGGAGCAUGUGGUUUUUGGAGAAACACACCAGAUUUUAAAUUAAGGCCACAAUCUUUACUUUAAUAAUUGCUAAAUCAAUUAAAACCCUUUUAAGGUUUAGGUGUAUUAGAUAAACUAAACCAAUUUUUAAGUUUACUAAAAGGAUACCUGAUUCAGACAAUUCCUCCUCCUUAAAAAAACAAAAACUUAAUUAUUAUUUUCUUAAUUUUUUAAAAUGAAAUCUGCAGGUGGCAGGAACAUCUUCUAACAUGGCAUC